rnacentral:rRNA from 1 species
AAUUGGACGGGGCCCGCACAAGCGGAGGAACAUGUGGUUUAAUUCGAUGAUACGCGAGGAACCUUACCUGGGCUUAAACGUAGAGUGCAUUUUUUAGAGAUAGAAAUUCCCUUCGGGGCUUUCUGCAAGGUGCUGCAUGGUUGUCGUCAGCUCGUGCCGUGAGGUGUCGGGUUAAGUCCCAUAACGAGCGCAACCCUUAUCGUUAGUUGCCAUCUGGUAAUGCAGGGGACUCUAGCGAAACUGCCACCGUAAGGUGAGAGGAAGGUGGGGAUGACGUCAAAUCAGCACGGCCCUUAUGUCCAGGGCUACACACGUGUUACAAUGGUCGGUACAGAGGGCAGCUACCUGGUGACAGGAUGCUAAUCUCGAAAACCGGUCUCAGUUCGGAUCGAAGUCUGCAACUCGACUUCGUGAAGCUGGAUUCGCUAGUAAUCGCGCAUCAGCUAUGGCGCGGUGAAUACGUUCCCGGGCCUU